UACGUAGGGACCAAGCGUUGUUCGGAUUUACUGGGCGUAAAGGGCGCGUAGGCGGCAAUUCAAGUCAGUUGUGAAAUCUCCGAGCUUAACUCGGAACGGUCAACUGAUACUGUUUUGCUAGAGUGCAGAAAGGGCAACCGGAAUUCUUGGUGUAGCGGUGAAAUGCGUAGAUAUCAAGAGGAACACCUGAGGCGAAGGCGGGUUGCUAGGCUGACACUGACGCUGAGGCGCGAAAGCGUGGGGAGCAAACAGG
rnacentral:rRNA from 1 species